rnacentral:rRNA from 1 species
UUGGAGGGCAAGUCUGGUGCCAGCAGCCGCGGUAAUUCCAGCUCCAAUAGCGUAUAUUAAAGUUGUUGCAGUUAAAAAGCUCGUAGUUGAAUUUCGGGGUUAGUAGGUUGGUCAUGCCUCUGGUAUGUACUGGUCUCACUGAUUCCUCCUUCUUGAUGAUCCGUAAUGCCAUUUAUUUGGUGUUGCGGGGAAUUUGGACUGUUACUUUGAAAAAAUUAGUGUGUUUAAAGCAAGCUAACGCUUGAAUACAUUAGCAUGGAAUAAUGAAAUAGGACGUUCGAUCCUAUUUUGUUGGUUUCUAGGAUUGACGUAAUGAUUAAUAGGGAUAGUUGGGGGCAUUAGUAUUCAAUUGUCAGAGGUGAAAUUCUUGGAUCUAUUGAAGACUAACUACUGCGAAAGCAUUUGCCAAGGAUGUUUUCAUUAAUCAAGAGCGAAAGUUAGGGGAUCGAAGACGAUCAGAUACCGUCGUAGUCUUAACCAUAAACUAUGCCGACUAGGGAUCGGAUGAUGUUAAUUUUUUAAUGACUCAUUCGGCGCCUUACGGGAAAC